rnacentral:rRNA from 1 species
UGUCGUCAGCUCGUGUCGUGAGAUGUUGGGUUAAGUCCGUAACGAGCGCAACCCUUGUCCUUAGUUACCAGCACGUUAUGUGGGCACUCUAAGAGGACUGCCGGUGACAAACCGGAGGAAGGUGGGGAUGACGUCAAGUCAUCAUGGCCCUUACGGCCUGGGCUACACACGUGCUACAAUGGUCGGUACAAAGGGUUGCCAAGCCGCGAGGUGGAGCUAAUCCCAUAAAACCGAUCGUAGUCCGGAUCGCAGUCUGCAACUCGACUGCGUGAAGUCGGAAUCGCUAGUAAUCGUGAAUCAGAAUGUCACGGUGAAUACGUUCCCGGGCCUU